AGUGAACGCUGGCGGUAGGCCUAACACAUGCAAGUCGAACGGCAGCACAGUAAGAGCUUGCCCUUACGGGUGGCGAGUGGCGGACGGGUGAGGCAUACAUCGGAAUCUACUUUUUCGUGGGGGAUAACGUAGGGAAACUUACGCUAAUACCGCAUACGAUCUACGGGUGAAAGCAGGGGAUCUUCGGACCUUUCGCGAUUGAAUGAGCCGAUGUCGGAUUAGCUAGUUGGCGGGGUAAAGGCCCACCAAGGCGACGAUCCGUAGCUGGUCUGAGAGGAUGAUCAGCCACACUGGAACUGAGACACGGUCCAGACUCCUACGGGAGGCAGCAGUGGGGAAUAUUGGACAAUGGGCGCAAGCCUGAUCCAGCCAUACCGCGUGGGUGAAGAAGGCCUUCGGAUUGUAAAGCCCUUUUGUUGGGAAAGAAAAGCAGCAGAUUAAUACCCCGCUGUUCUGACGGUACCCAAAGAAUAAGCACCGGCUAACUUCGUG
rnacentral:rRNA from 1 species